ACUUCCGCGUUUCUGGCGCGUGGUCUUGCAUUUCCUACUUGGUCCUGUUCGUGGCGCCGCGCCUCCGGGUGUUGGGGAGUCCGGGAUGAUGGGGAAUCCGGGGCUCGCCCUAGUCGCGGGGACACCGCCUUCCAGGAGCUGUCCCCAGGCAAACUCACAGACAUCUUCAAAGAGCCUUCUUGGACAUUCUGCUUUUUGCUCCUCAUAACAGGCUUCGAUGGAGUUUCUCUCUUAUUUUCCAGGCUGCAGUACAGUGGCGUGAUCUCGGCUCACUGCAACCUCCACCUCCCAGGUUCAAGCGAUUCUCCUGUCUUAGCCUCACGAGUAGCCGGGAUUACAGGCACAUGCCCCCAUUCCCAGCUAAUUUUUGUAUUUUUAGUAGUGACGGGGUUUCAUCAUAUUGGUCAGGCUGGUCUCAAACUCCUGACCUCAGGUGAUCCGCCUCGGCCUCCCAAAGUGUUGGGAUUACAGGCGUGAGCCACCCACUGUAUCUCUUGUUCGGAGGAAUAUCUAAUCAAGAAAAUCAUUUUUACUGUUUUUAUUUUUUGGUUUGUUCGUUUUUUUCCUGUGAGAUGGAGUUUCACUCUUGUUGCCCAUCCUGGUGUACAAUGGCGCGAUCUCGGCUCACUUCAACCUCCGCCUCCCAGUGCGUCCGGAAUUGGUGGGUUCUUGGUCUCACUGACUUCAAGAAUGAAGCUGCGCACCCUCACGAACUUGUCAGAUAUGCUCUCCCAGCCCUUCUUACUAAGGACAAUGGGUACUUGUCCAAGCCCAUCCACCAUUCUGUCAGUCGCAUCCUAAGAAGAGAUCAGAGAAGAUUCUCUCCUAGACCACGCAAAAUAGACCGAUCAUCUUUGGCACGUGUGGCCAUGACCCACAUGAGGAUUUAUAAGCGACCUAGUCACCGGGACUUCAUGUGGUUACCUUUUCUGAAUGGCUCCCGGUUCUCCUCUGCUUCCCUGUUGACUCGGUUUUGUUCUGGUUCAACAGCAGACCCCUGGUCAUCAAGUUCAUCUUCUGUUUCAUCAUCACUGUAGGGAACCACUUCGUCAUUAGGCUGAGAAUCCUCGUCAAAUGUCGUUUCUGAGUCUCUUUCUGUACUCAUUCUGCUGGCAAAUUGGAACUACCUGCUUAAAAGGAAAGAGAAACCAGAGUGAAUUAUGACUCUUGCCCAGUUUUUGGUUGAAUACUGCCUGCAUGCUGCUACAAUGCCCCUUUUACAGAACAUUGUCUAACAUGUAAAUAUUCUGGAAUAGUACCCCCAAAUUCAACUUGACAUGAAGACAAGAACAAAACCAUUCAGUACUGAUUAAAUGCUUGGGAUAAUGUGCAACAAUCUAGAUGAUCCAAAGAGUAUUUGAUGACAUUGCAUUAAUGACCUUAAGUUAAUAGCUGCACCCUUCUGGUUACCGCUAGAACUGAGCUUUCGCUCGCCGUCCACCACUGCUGUUUUGCUGCCGUCGCAGACCCGCCGCUGACUUCCAUCCCUCCAAUCCAGCAGGGCGCCCGCUGUGCUCCUGAUCCAGGGAAGCACCCGUUGCCACUCCUGAUCGCGCUAAAGGCUUGCCAUUGUUCCUGCAUGGCUAAGUGCCUGGUUUCGUCCUAAUCAAGCUGAACACUAGUCACUGGGUUCCACGGUUCUCUUCCGUGACCCACGACUUCUAAUAGAGCUAUAACACUCACCGCACGGCCCAAGAUUCCAUUCCUUGGAAUCCGUGAGGCCAAGAACCCCAGGUCAGAGAACACGAGGCUUGCCACCAUCUUGGAAGUGGCCUGCCGCCAUUUUGGAAGUGGCCCACCACCAUCUUGGGAGCUCUGGGAGCAAGGACCCCUGCCUCCUGGGCUCAAGCAAUUCUCCCACCUCAGCCUCCUGAGUAGUUGAGACUAUAGGCAUCUGGAUAUUAAGACUGUCUCCAGCCCUUUGAGGUUGAGAGAGGAAGCAAGCACGGAGGAAUGGAUUUGACAACCCACAUGUCCGUGACUCAAAGCAAGCAAGGCCUUGCACAACCAACUCGCCACCCACACAAUCUGCACAGUCUCAGUGAGAAAGCAGGAGCAGGGAGCUCUCCGCUGAGAGUGAAGAAAUGUCCUCAACUCGACUUCUCUGCAGUGUGCAUGUGUGUGAAACACAGACACACACGGGAGGAAUUUGGCUCUGUCAUUUUAGUGUACCAAAGAAAAAAAAACAGGGAGAAAUCACUUGUUUGAAGCCCUAAAUGACAUAAGGAAGAUUUUCCCAGAUCUAAAUAAUGAUCCCUAAGGUCAGGUGCUGUGUAUGGUAUGGAUUUGGAAACUUCAUAAUGUCUCUGACCACCACUCCAGGACACUGCAGACAGGUGUGCAUUUACUCAGCAUCCAGUAAACACCUGCAAGGUGCAGAGUACUACACUAGGCACAGGGAACAGAGCUACUGACUGACUGCCAGAGUUUCGAAGAAUACAGAUAAGUCAACUAUUAAAGCUAGGAAACAGACCGGAUGCGGUGGCUCACGCCUGUAAUCCCAGCACUUUGGAAGACCGAGGCGGGUGGAUCAACUGAGGUCAAGAGUUCAAGACCAGCCUGCCAACAUGGUGAAACUCCGUCCCUAUUAAUAAUACAAAAAAAUUAGCUGGGCAUGGUGGCACAUGCCUGUAAUCCCAGCUAUUCGGGAGGCUGAGGCAGGAGAAUUGCUUGAACCCAGGAGGCUGCAGUGAGCUGAGAUCGCGCCAUUGCACUCCAGCCUGGGCAACAAGAGCGAAACUCUGCCUCCAAUAAAUAAAUAAAUAAAAUAAAAUAAAAUAAAAUAAAGCCAUAAAACAGUAAAGCCAGUCGUUUUUGCCUCAAAUACUCCUCCAAUUCAUCACCUCCUCUCUAUCUCCAUGGCCACCAUCAUCUCUCCCUGGAAAUGCUGCGAGAUCCCUCUAACUAGACUUUCCACAAUUAACUUCCACAUGACCACCAAAGGCAUGCCAUUCUCCUGCUUACAC
rnacentral:lncRNA from 1 species